UACAGAGACUGCAAGCGUUGUUCGGAUUCAUUGGGCGUAAAGGGUCCGUAGGCGGUCGGUUAAGUCGGAUGUGAAAUCUCACAGCCUAACUGUGAGCGGUCAUUCGAAACUAAUCGGCUAGAGGGCUGGAGAGGAGACUGGAAUUGUCGGUGUAGCGGUGAAAUGCGCAGAUAUCGGGAGGAACACCAAUGGCGAAGGCAGCUCGCUGGGACGUGGACUGACGCUGAGACGCGAAAGCGUGGGGAGCAAACAGG
rnacentral:rRNA from 1 species